GAUAUAAGCUGCUGCUGCUGUGCUAAUACACGAAUGUUUGAAGAAAUGGCCCCACUUCGAUCCUCAGGAUAUAUUGAUCCUGGAUGGGAACAUGGCAUUGCUCAAGAUGAAAGAAAAAAGAAGGUCAAAUGCAACUACUGCGGGAAAAUAGUUAGUGGUGGAAUAUUCAGAUUGAAACAACAUUUAGCUAGAAUGUCUGGUGAAGUUACUCAUUGUGGUAAGGUUCCUGAGGAAGUAUGCUUCAAUAUGAGAAAAAACCUGGAAGGAUGCCGUUCAGGUCGAAAGCGAAGGCAAGCUGAAUUUGAACAGGCAUCUUUAGCUUUCCACUCUAGUGAGUAUAAUGACAUGGAGGAAGCUUCCUGCAGUUACAAACAAAAAGGCAAAAAGGUGGUGGGUGACAAGAACUUGGUUAUAAGGUUUGCUUCUCUUCGAUCCUUAGGAUAUGUGGACCCGGGCUGGGAACAUUGUAUUGCUCAAGAUGAAAAGAAGAAAAGAGUGAAGUGCAAUUAUUGUGAGAGAAUUAUUAGUGGAGGCAUCAAUCGCUUUAAACAACAUCUGGCUAGGAUCCCUGGGGAAGUUGCCUAUUGUGACAAGGCACCUGAGGAGGUGUACCUUAGAAUCAAGGAGAACAUGAAAUGGCACCGUACUGGAAGAAGGAAUCGGAAACCUGAAUCUAAAGAGAUAUCCACUUUCUAUACCAACUCAGAUAACGAGGAUGAAGAGGAGGAGCAAGAGGGAGGGUUGUUGCAAUAUUCAAGUAAGGAUUUGCUGGCCAUUGAUGAUAAAAUUUCAGACAAUGACAUCAGAAAUAAUAUCAAGGGGAGGUCCCCUGGUAGUAGCAGCAACGGUGCUGAACCACCAAUGAAAAGAUCAAGAUUGGAUUCAGUGUUUUUGAAGUCUCUUAAAAACCAAACAUCAUCGCACUACAGGCAAACAAAAGCAAGGAUGGGUUUUGAGAAGAAAGCUCUAAAGGAAGUGAUCUCUUCCAUCUGCAAAUUCUUUUAUCAUGCAGGAAUCCCUUCAAAUGCAGCAAAUUCCCCAUAUUUCCUCAAAAUGCUGGAGUUGGUUGGCCAAUAUGGGCCUGGUCUGCAGGGACCUUCAAGCCAACUACUAUCUGGUCGGUUUCUUCAGGAUGAGAUCAUUACAAUAAAAGAAUAUCUUGAAGAGUUUAAGGCAUCUUGGACAAUUACUGGCUGUUCUAUUGUUGCUGAUAGUUGGAACGAUCUCCAGGGUAGGACAUCAAUUAACCUUUUGGCCUGUUGUCCCCGAGGUGCAUACUUUGUUUCUUCUAUUGAUGCCACUGAUAUGAUCGAAGAUGCCGCAAGCCUUUUCAAGUUGUUGGACAAGGUGGUGGAAGAGAUUGGUGAGGAAAAUGUUGUUCAGGUAAUCACUAAAAACACUGCCAGUUUUAAGACUGCUGGGAAGAUGCUUGAAGAGAAAAGGAGAAAUUUAUUUUGGACACCAUGUGCUAUCCAUUGCAUUGAUCAAAUGGUAGAGGACUUUUUGAAUAUAAAAUGGGUAGGAGAGUGCGUAGAUAAGGCUAAAAAAGUUACAAGGUUUAUUUACAACAAUACUUGGUUGUUGAAUUAUAUGAAAAAAGAAUUCACAAAGGGACAAGAACUUCUCAGGCCAGCUGUUACUAAGUUUGGCACUGCAUUCUUCACUUUACAAAGUUUGUUGGACCAAAGGGUUGGUCUUAAGAGAAUGUUCCAAUCAAACAAAUGGAUAUCUUCCCGAUUUCCCAAAUCAGAUGAUGGUAGAGAAGUUGAAAAAAUUGUCUUAAAUGCCACAUUCUGGAAGAAGGUGCAGCACGUGAAAAAAUCCUUAGAACCGGUUGCGCUUGUUCUUCAGAAGAUAGAUGGUGAUGAAACCCGAUCAAUAGCAUAUAUAUAUAAUGACAUGUGCAGAGCUAAACAUGCAAUUAAAAUUAUUCAUGGGGAUGAUGCACGGAAAUAUGGACCUUUCUGGACUGUGAUAGAAAACCAAUGGAGCUCUCUGUUUCACCACCCACUUUACGUGGCUGCUUACUUUCUAAAUCCAUCUUACCGCUAUCGACCUGAUUUCCUAUUGAAUCCUGAGGUUGUUCGUGGUCUAAAUGAAUGUAUUGUUCGACUGGAAGUUGACAAUGGCAAAAGAAUUUCUGCAUCCAUGCAGAUCCCUGAUUUUGUGUCAGCGAAAGCUGAUUUUGGAACUGAUUUGGCUAUUAGUACUAGAAUGGAGCUUGAUCCAGCUGCAUGGUGGCAACAACAUGGGAUAAGUUGCUUAGAGCUUCAACGAAUUGCCAUUCGUAUACUAAGCCAGACAUGCUCAUCUCUCAUAUGUGAACACACUUGGAGUAUAUAUGAUCAAGUUCAUAGUAAAAGGCAUAGUACUGCAUCCCGGAAGAGAUGGAACGAGCUUACCUUUGUCCACUAUAAUUUGCGUCUAAGAGAACGCCAACUAGGAAGAAAGCCUGGUGAUGUGGUCUCAUUUGACAACUUAAUUACUGAAAACAUACUGGAUGACUGGCUUGUAGAGUCAGAGAAACAAACCAUGCAAGAAGAUGAGGAGAUCCUUUAUAAUGAGAUGGAACAAUUUGAUGGAGAUGAAAUGGAUGAGAAUGACCAUCAAGAAAAGAGACCUGCAGAUAUGGUGACAUUGGCAGGGGUACUUGAGCCUUUGGAUGUUAUUCCUGCUGCCGGAGGAGUUACCACUGAUGAUGAUGGUCUUGAUUUUCUUGAUGAUGAUUUGACAGAUUAGUUAAUAUGUAUGUGGCUCAUCAAACCUGGAGUGCAAAAGGAGAAGAUUCAGCUUCAGCCACAUAUGCUCGAGUUGUGAGGACUGGAGUGCCAAGAGCGCAUGGUGGAAGAAGCAAUCGUGCUCUGAUUCAGAUCCCUUUCCUUUUUAUUAUUCUGGGAACUGUUGGACUGGGGGGG